GACUGGUUUAUUUCCAGGGCACCAAUGGUCUUCUUUCAGCUUUCUGAUGACCUGUAAACACUUUAGGCGGCAGCCUCCAUCUUCAUCCAUAUCCUCUAAUAGUUCUCGCUCAGCACGCGUGAAUGAAAGCUGCCAGUGGUAAUUUGAUCUUGCCAAUAAAUUAAAUCCAAAGGACUACCGAGAUAGAAAGCAUUGGAGACAAAAAUCUGCUUCACUAUUUCUGAAUAAAUGUAGAGAAAGGAACAAUCGCAGAAGUAUUUGGCUGGAAUUUGGUUCCAUGGUCCUGAUCUCAAUGAAUUCUGGGUCAAGAACGCAGAUCUGCAGCAGUGGCUUCAUAGAAGCAGCCACCUUAUCCAAUUAAGGUACAUGUAACAAUAAAUCAAAUCAAAUCAAGAACAUGGAAUUAAGUUCUGUUUGGAGAAACUGUGUGGCUGAAACCAGGACCAUAUGGGAGAGUGGACUGCCUAAAACCUGAAUAAGCCAAAAAAAACAGGUACAACAAUGACUAUGUGGUGAAUUUUCCCACUUGCAUUUGUUUGCAAGUGAGUUUCAUAGUGUCCAGUCUGUCAUGCUCUGGGGCACAUUUUCCUCACAACUUUCCAUGUUUCCCCACAUUAAUUAGGCAAUCAAGCUGUUAGGCACAUUGCUUAAGACAAUCCACCAGGAACUUAUAGUAACUCUGCCACUGCACAUGCUCCUUAUCAAGAUUCAUGGAGUACAGCUUGCAGUAUCGAAUGCAUCAUGACCACUCGGGGGCUCACAGCCACCUCAUGUUCACAAAUUACUGACCCGUCCUGCACUCUGUGCUUCCUAUUCACUCAGUGGAAACACUCAACCAGCUCUCCUGCGCACAUAUGACCACUAAAUGUUCUCGCAUCCACUUCCAACAUUCUCAGUCCUUCCUUUUUUCUCAUUGCAAGUAAAACUGGCCAACUCCUUGAACUGAUGUCUCCAUAGCACCCUGCCUGACCUAGCUCCUAUCCUUGAGCUGCUUGCACUUGACCUGCAGGACUUACUAUUACUAUGUCGUGUCAUCGGCCAAAGCUCAUGUCUGACGAUGACAGUAACCCCCGACUGACCGCAGUCCUGCUUCACUUGACUGAGGACUCUUCCCCUUUGAC